rnacentral:tRNA from 1 species
GCCCCCGUGGUGGAAUGGCAGACACAUGAGACUUAAAAUCUCCCGCGUAACAGCGUGCUGGUUCGAGUCCAGCCGGGGGCA